UCAUUUGUCCCUUGUAUAGUGGUGUUUUUGGUGUGUGUAGUAGUUUUUAUUCAUUCCUAGCAAUAUGAUGAUAUUCGAUAGUCUCUGCAGUAAUAUGUGGUCCUGGUGUCAAGGGAUUUUAUUUAAUUAAACCAGUGUUUCCCAACCAGGGUGCCUCCAGCUGUUGCAAAACUACAACUUCCAGAAUGCCUGGACAGCCACAGUUCUGCAACAGCUGGGGGCACACUUGUUAGGAAACACUGCCCUGGGGGGUGCUCCCUCUCUCCAGGCUCAGCAGUGGCUCUCCCUCCUAGGACCCCCACUUUACAAUACGGUAAUACCGUAAUGUACACAGCCCCGCCUGCCGCACGCGUUACGCCUCCGUGCAGAUAGUGUCACGUUUCUCCAUUCUGUCGUCUCCGCCCCCCACAGUUUUCCAACCGCGCCCCCGGAUCCAGGGCUUGGAGUCAGCUCCCGGAAGGAAGAGGCCGACGAGCUGGCCCGGCCCGGGGGACAGUGGGAUGAGGUGGCCGGCAUCGCGGCUGGUGCUGCUGUGCCUGGUCUGCGGCUUCUGCUCGCUGCUGUAUGCCCUGACGCAGAGGGGGAGCGGGGGUACUGAGGGGCAGGACCCCGUCGCCCUCUCUUCCUCAGCAGUGUGGCGAGGGGCGCCCGGUGUGCGGCACAGGUGUCAGAAUUUCUCUGUCUCUUUCUGGAAUCCCUAUUGGAUGCUGCCCUCUGGUGUUUGUGGAAAGGACUGCUUUUGGGAAGCUGCUUUUAGAUACAACCUUCCUGAAAGACAUGAACUGGAUAUGAUGCACUUGGCAGUCGUGGCCUGUGGUGAUCGCUUGGAUGAGACUGUUACGAUGCUCAAGUCUGCCCUUCUUUUUAGUAUAAAGCCCCUUCAGUUUCAUGUCUUUGCUGAAGACCAGCUGCACAAAGAUUUCAGCACAAUUCUCAACAGUUGGGGGUUUUCAAAGAAGUUUAAGUACACACUAUACCCCAUUUCCUUUCCGUCAGAAAAUGCAGCAGAAUGGAGGAAACUUUUUAAGCCGUGUGCAUCACAGAGAUUGUUCUUGCCGUUAAUCCUCAAAGAUUUGGACUCCUUGCUGUAUGUUGACACGGACAUCAUUUUCUUACGUCCCGUGGAUGAUAUUUGGUUCUUUUUAAAUGAGUUUAAUUCUACUCAGAUCGCUGCUAUGGCUCCAGAGCAUGAAGAGCCACGCAUAGGAUGGUAUAACAGAUUUGCACGCCACCCUUUUUAUGGAAAGACUGGCAUUAAUUCUGGGGUUAUGUUAAUGAAUAUGACUCGUAUCAGAAGAAAACACUUUAAGAAUGACAUGACCACUGUUCCUCUGCACUGGGGAGAAAUCCUUAUGCCAUUGCUGAAAAAAUACAAGCUAAACAUAACAUGGGGUGACCAAGAUCUAUUAAAUAUAAUUUUUUCCCACAAUCCAGAAAGUAUUUACAUCUUCCCAUGCCAGUGGAAUUAUCGUCCUGAUCACUGCAUUUAUGGAAGCAAUUGUAAUGAAGCAGAAGAUGGAAUUUUUAUCCUUCAUGGGAACAGAGGUGUAUACCAUGACAAUAAGCAGCCAGCUUUUAGAGCUGUAUACGAAGCACUACGAAAUUUCUCAUUUGGAUAUGACCUCAUUGAGUCUUUGUUGCAUCCCUUAGAACUGGAAUUACAGAAAACAGAACACACAUACUGUGGCAGGAUACAUCAGCUAUUCACAAAGCAGCUUACCAAAAGCAUUGACGACUUUUAUACAAGGCAAUCUAAUUCCCUUAGGAAUCCUGCGCCCUAGUAGAAUUUCCCAUUUUCUCCUGCACAAGCUAUCCCGUGACGCUGAUACUACUACCGGUUACCUGAUCGUGGACCUGGAGGGAACCUGUGGCUGCGGAAUCAUUCAUUUUCCCACAAGCGCAUACAGGUGUUGUGCCCAUAGCAUAACACUCCUUGAUACCUUCAGAUGUCUUCCAUUCCAUGCAGCUUCUGUUUUGGCUGGAAGAAUAGUUUAUUAUGUUUUACCCAGAAAACCUGACAGAUCGCAUUGAAGUUAAUGGGAGCCAUGAGGUUAUGACUUUCAAUUUAUUAAAAAUGGAUUCUUUUUUUGUAAAUCUGUUUUUCUGUAAAGCAUUAGCUCGUGGCCCUGACGCUGGCACUGAUAUCUCUGCAUUGUACCAGAAGGCUGACAUCUCACAUAAGUGACAUCAAAUCUGAAAAGUCAGAUCUUUUAUGUCAGAAUAUGCUUACUUCUGGACUGGUGUCAGUACGGAGCACAAUAGAUUUUUUUUCCUAUUGCAAAGACUUUCAUAUAGAAGCUCAAAUUAUAUGACAUGUUCUCUCAGAAGAUGCUGUAUGAAGAAACACAAUCCCUGCCGCCUUAGGCACUCUGUGAAGCACCAUGUCACAGGGUUAUUUCUCCCUGAAACAAUGUUUCUUUGGAAGAAUAGCUUUGUAAUAUGGCAUGUGAUGGAGCAUACAAUGAUUACAAGUAACCUCCAUAGACUUAAGUAGAGAAUUAUAAGUAUACAUAUGUACUGUAGAGAGUAAUAGAAGUCUACAGUUGUAGUAUUGCAGCCCUAUAAGAUUGUAUGGAGCUAUAAUACAGCUGUAUCAAGAAGGAGGCUUACAAAAAGCAUCUGGCUAAAUAUCUGUUAUAUGCCUGCUGUAUGUAACCAUCUUU